GCAAUGCCGACCACACGCCGAGAACAGCUUCGGCUUUCUUCACCUUCGAGCUAGGACAAGACGAUGAAUCCCAUGGUCUCCGGUCACGGCUACCGUCCUCCCCGCCCCCUCCCCGCCCUCCUUCCCUCCCUCCGACGUCGUUCCCCUUUCUGUUGCUGCAGUCCUUCAUCCCCUUUCUGUAGCUUGGUCCGUUCGUGUCCUCCGGUCGCCGCCUCAUUAUUCCAGCCGGCGGCCCCGUUCCCUCCCUCAGCCGACGCCCUUGCGCUAUCUCUCCGACGGCCUCUCCUCCCGCACUUCCCCUACCAGGGUACCUCCAUUCAUCCGCUGCUCUGAAACCUCUUGGGGUUGCACUGGCGGCAGCAGCACUCGUCUUCGAGUACGGAGAUGGAGGUCGUAGACGCGCAAUAGAGGUGGCGCCGACUUGCGUCGUCGGUCCAGGCCGUGCUGCGGUGCCUCCUCCCGUCCGGAAGCGAACCGGCGCCGGCGUUCGUCUAAUUGUUUCGUCUCCACCUCGUACCUCCACAGGAGACAACACAGGAUGGGAAGUAAAUGGCCAGUUCAAAAAGAAGAUAUUAGAACUAGAAAACGAAAUCAUGAGGAUUGGGAGUGCUGUUUCUUACUGCCUGUUGUUGUGAUUCAUCAUGGUCCUCACGGUUCACAGGAUCAAUCCUUGAAGAAGCCAUCAAUGGACAAGGGAGAAUUUGCCUGGGACUUGUUGAAUUCGCAUCAGCUUGUCCCUAGAUUCGUUGAUUGAUGGAGGUCUUCUACACUUGUAUAUUUUCUGUAAUCUGGCUCCGCUUCUCCCUGGUUGUGUAUGCUGUACGUAGAUGAAGGAGGUGCGAUUUGUUGUUCUGUGCAUCAAGUGUUUUUGGCGCGCAGAGGUAUAUUGUAUUGUUAUUUGGCGCGAAGGAGAAAGUUUCCCUCCUGUAUUUUGUUAGAUGCAGAUUCAGUGCCGAGAAUUACGUGAAGGGAUACGGUCGUAUUUCUCUUU